rnacentral:rRNA from 1 species
AGCAAUUAUACAGCGAAACUGCGAAUGGCUCAUUAAAUCAGUUAUCGUUUAUUUGAUAGUACCUUACUACUUGGAUAACCGUGGUAAUUCUAGAGCUAAUACAUGCUAAAAACCCCGACUCACGAAGGGGUGUAUUUAUUAGAUUAAAAACCAAUGCCCUUCGGGGCUCUUUGGUGAUUCAUAAUAACUUUUCGAAUCGCAUGGCCUUGCGCCGGCGAUGGUUCAUUCAAAUUUCUGCCCUAUCAACUUUCGAUGGCAGGGUCUUGGCCUGCCAUGGUUACAACGGGUAACGGAGGGUUAGGGCUCGACCCCGGAGAAGGAGCCUGAGAAACGGCUACUACAUCCAAGGAAGGCAGCAGGCGCGCAAAUUACCCAAUCCCGAUUCGGGGAGGUAGUGACAAUAAAUACUGAUACAGGGCUCUUUUGGGUCUUGUAAUUGGAAUGAGUACAAUUUAAAUCCCUUAACGAGGAACAAUUGGAGGGCAAGUCUGGUGCCAGCAGCCGCGGUAAUUCCAGCUCCAAUAGCGUAUAUUAAAGUUGUUGCAGUUAAAAAGCUCGUAGUUGAACCUUGGGCCUGGCUGGCCGGUCCGCCUCACCGCGUGCACUGGUUCGGCCGGGCCUUUCCCUCUGGGGAACCUCAUGGUCUUCACUGAUCGUGAUGGGGAACCAGGACUUUUACUGUGAAAAAAUUAGAGUGUUCAAAGCAGGCCUAUGCUCGAAUACAUUAGCAUGGAAUAAUAAAAUAGGACGUGUGGUUCUAUUUUGUUGGUUUCUAGGACCGCCGUAAUGAUUAAUAGGGACAGUCGGGGGCAUCAGUAUUCAAUUGUCAGAGGUGAAAUUCUUGGAUUUAUUGAAGACUAACUACUGCGAAAGCAUUUGCCAAGGAUGUUUUCAUUAAUCAGGAACGAAAGUUAGGGGAUCGAAGACGAUCAGAUACCGUCGUAGUCUUAACCAUAAACUAUGCCGACUAGGGAUCGGACGGUGUUACUUAUUGACCCGUUCGGCACCUUACGAGAAAUCAAAGU